rnacentral:rRNA from 1 species
UACGUAGGGGGCGAGCGUUGUCCGGAAUUAUUGGGCGUAAAGAGCUCGUAGGCGGCUUGUCACGUCGGGUGUGAAAGACCGGGGCUUAACUCCGGUUCUGCAUUCGAUACGGGCUAGCUAGAGUGUGGUAGGGGAGAUCGGAAUUCCUGGUGUAGCGGUGAAAUGCGCAGAUAUCAGGAGGAACACCGGUGGCGAAGGCGGUCUGCUGGGGUGAUGCUGACACUGAUGCGCGACAGCGUGGGGAGCAAACAGG